CCUCAUAGUAUAGUUACUGUUGUAUAACAGUCAGCAAGAACAGGAUAAAACUGGAAAUAGUAACAUAGCUAACAAAAAUAAUUUGUUCAAUACAUAAAUGCAUAACCCACACGUCAAAAUAUGUAGUUUGAUAACUGGUAUAUAUCAUAAAGUCUGCAUCACCUUUGAAGCCAUUUUCAGCAACUUUUUACAAAUGAAAUCAAUCUUUAGCACAAUAACUUUGGUAUUCUAUGAAUGGCAUUAGGGGAAA